rnacentral:rRNA from 1 species
CAUGUAGGCGGAUUAAUAAGUUUGAAGUGAAAUCCUAUAGCUUAACUAUAGAACUGCUUUGAAAACUGUUAAUCUAGAAUGCGGGAGAGGUAGAUGGAAUUUCUGGUGUAGGGGUAAAAUCCGUAGAGAUCAGAAGGAAUACCGAUUGCGAAGGCGAUCUACUGGAACAUUAUUGACGCUGAGAUGCGAAAGCGUGGGGAGCAAACA